rnacentral:rRNA from 1 species
AUGAGCUGUGAGAAUGUUGAAUGGGAGGUCGAAGGCGAAGCUGAGAAGGAGGAGGAGAUGGAGUCCCAGAAGGAUAAAGCGCCGAAGGAGGCCAAGAAAAGGAAGGAAAUGCAGCCAAGGAGCAACCCCAAUAAGAUCAAUGACAACAAACAGCCAACUCUUCAAGCUACAACAGAUGAGGAGGACAGCAGUAAUUGUGCACUUGUUGCUGGGAGGAUUGCUCCUGAGAAGAUUAGAGAUGCUUUUGCUGAAAUGAUCAUUAUGGAUAGGCUCCCAUUUGCAUUUUCUGAGAAAUCAGGAUUUACAAGUUUAUAG